AGCCGGGGAGUUAGCGGUGCCCUGUACCUGCAAUCCGCUACAGCAGGGGUGAUGCCAAUCCGAGGACUGUCUCCUGUGGAGCUGCCCUUUGUAAGUGGCGUUGACGUUUGGGUCUUACGCAACAGGAAUCUGUGAACCGUGUCAGGGCAGGAAUGCAGCAGCACUAAGCAGAAGCUUCUGUGUGCCGUAAGGGUGCCUGGGCCGAGUUAACUGCAGAGGUAACGUCCAUGGGCGCUUUUCGACGUGCGGCGCGC
rnacentral:SRP_RNA from 1 species